CCAAAAAAAUCAAAAAAA
rnacentral:sRNA from 1 species